rnacentral:rRNA from 1 species
ACAGCAGCCGCCGCGGUAAAACGGAGGGUGCAAGCGUUAUCCGGAUUCACUGGGUUUAAAGGGUGCGUAGGCGGAUCUGUAAGUCAGUGGUGAAAUCUCCAGGCUUAACCUGGAAACUGCCGUUGAUACUAUAGGUCUUGAAUUUUGUGGAGGUUAGCGGAAUAUGUCAUGUAGCGGUGAAAUGCAUAGAUGUGACAUAGAACACCAAUUGCGAAGGCAGCUGGCUACACAACUAUUGACGCUGAGGCACGAAAGCGUGGGGAUCAAACAGGAUUAGAUACCCCAGUAGUCCCUGUCUCUUAUAC